CUGCUUUCCUCUGGUGACUGGAUUAGAACGACUUUUUCUAGCACCAGUUGAAAUCAGCUU
rnacentral:pre_miRNA from 1 species